AUGUUUACUUCAGCAGCACAUAUACUAAAAUUGAAAUGAUAGAAGAUUAGCAUGGCCCUGCACAAGAUUGACAUGCAAAUUUGUGAAGCAUUCCAUAUUUUU
rnacentral:snRNA from 1 species